CUCACAGCAUCGUUAGAGCAAUCUUAUUACCGCCCGAAUUUCGCCAAUCGCCCGCCCUUUGGAAUUGGCACAACACAAUCACUGCGAUGGCCCGGUCCUUUCGGUCCUGGAUUCCUCAGCCCCCAGCCCCCCGGGAUUGUCUGGAUCGGGUCCAUCGCAUAGUUAAUCCCCGGACUGGGCCAACGCGAGUUGGCCCUUUU
rnacentral:sRNA from 1 species